rnacentral:rRNA from 1 species
UACGGAGGGGGCUAGCGUUGUUCGGAAUUACUGGGCGUAAAGCGCACGUAGGCGGCUUUGCAAGUUAGAGGUGAAAGCCCGGGGCUCAACUCCGGAAUUGCCUUUAAAACUGCAUCGCUAGAAUUGUGGAGAGGUAAGUGGAAUUCCGAGUGUAGAGGUGAAAUUCGUAGAUAUUCGGAAGAACACCAGUGGCGAAGGCGACAUACUGGUCCGUUACUGACGCUGAGGCUCGAAAGCGUGGGAGCAAACAGG